rnacentral:pre_miRNA from 8 species
AUCUUUGGUUAUCUAGCUGUAUGAGUAUUUUGCACUUCAUAAAGCUAGAUAACCGAAAGU